GAUGAACGCUGGCGGCGUGCCUAAUACAUGCAAGUCGAGCGAACAGACGAGGAGCUUGCUCCUCUGACGUUAGCGGCGGACGGGUGAGUAACACGUGUAUAACCUACCUAUAAGACUGGGAUAACUUCGGGAAACCGGAGCUAAUACCGGAUAAUAUAUUGAUCCGCAUGGUUCAAUAGUGAAAGACGGUUUUGCUGUCACUUAUAGAUGGUUCCGCGCCGCAUUAGCUAGUUGGUAAGGUAACGGCUUACCAAGGCAACGAUGCGUAGCCGACCUGAGAGGGUGAUCGGCCACACUGGAAGUGAGACACGGUCCAGACUCCUACGGGAGGCAGCAGUAGGGAAUCUGCCGCAAUGGGCGAAAGCCUGACGGAGCAACGCCGCGUGAGUGAUGAAGGUCUUCGGAUCGUAAAACUCUGUUAUUAGGGAAGAACAAAUGUGUAAGUAACUAUGCACGUCUUGACGGUAACUAAUCAGAAAGCCACGGCUAACUACGUG
rnacentral:rRNA from 1 species